rnacentral:lncRNA from 12 species
UGUGUAAGGAGCAAAGGCUGGCUUUAAGUGAAACCCUGCAAGUGAAGGCAUCCAGGCCUUCCCCUCCAUGCACCUGCUGCUGUGCCACCCCGGGUGCCCCACCUGUGCUGGCUCCCCGGCUCCUGCCAGGUCCAGGCUGACUGCACAGAGCAGCAGGGCCCACCCUGCUGGUUUUGGGAGCGAGGUGGGUCAGACCCAAGGCACCGGUGCUGCCCCAGCGCUGUUCCCUGCGCUGGGAUGUGGGAUGAGCUGCAGGACCUGAUCCCUCACCCUGCCAGGCUCAGCUCUGUGCUCACCCAGGCAUCUACUGAGCCCAGCCAGGAGCAGUCCCGGGCAAUCAUUAACCAGCAUUAACCGCCUGCCUGCCAAAAGCAGCUGAAAGAACACCCUUGAGGAGCCUGCAGCACUCAGCAGCCUGGAGAGCUCUGAUUUCCUGAUCAAGGGCCCAUUCCCAUGGAAAAACCCAAGCACAAACAUUGCCUGCUCCUGGGUUUAAAAGAUGUGCUGGAGGCAAGAGGUGACACUGCCACAGCCAGGAUCCCUGCCCUGGUGUGUCCCUGUGCCACCCCUGCCCUGGUGUGUCCCUGUGCCACCCCUGCCCUGGUGUGUCCCUGUGCCACCCCUGCCCUGGUGUGUCCCUGUGCCACCCCUGCCCUGGUAACUGUGUGUCCCUGUGCCAUCCCUGCCCUGGUGUGUCCCUGUGCCACCCCUGCCCUGGUGACUGUCCCUGUGCCACUCCUGCCCUGGUGUGUCCCUGUGCCACUCCUGCCCUGGUGUGUCCCUGUGCCACCCCUGCCCUGGUGACUGUCCCUGUGCCAUGGCUCACCCACAGGGACCAGAGCACUCCCCACCCAUGGUUUCCUGGGCACCAUCCCAGCUCACAGGGCACCAAGCUGCAUCUCCCCUGUUAUUAGGGAUUCACUCAUCAACUCGUCCUUCCUUUGCACCCCACAGCUCCAGAGUCCUCCAAGACCCCCCCCCCCCCCCCCCCCCCCCCCCCCCCCCCCCCCCCCCCCCCCCCCCCCCCCCCCCCCCCCCCC